UGCAGAUGGAUCCUUUACCAGCUGAGCCACCAGGGAAGCCCGACACCCAGUGGGGGCUCACGUCACACUUGCUGAAUGAGUGAACUUGCAAGAGUGAAUGCUGCCGCGUCCCUGGGUUAAGUGGGAAGCUCCAGGGAGCCCUAUGGUUGGCGAUCGCCCUAUGAACUGUCGCGCACCAUGUUCCCUGGAAUCCACGGCUGGCCACUUUCUUGCACUGUCCUGUUUAACCCUCACGUCACGCCAUGAGGUGACCACGCUCACUCUUCCCACCACAGCAGUCCUCAAGGGCCUGGGAGGGCUGCCUUCAUCCCACUGCUCGCUCCGACCACCAGCACCCUCGCAUACUCGGUUCCAGCUGCACUGACUUCCUUGCUGUUCCUCGGUCCCACCAAGCUCACGCCUGCCUCAGGACCUUUGCACCUGCUAUUCCCGCUACCAAUUCUUUCUCCAAUGAGCACUCAGCUCAGAUGUCAUUCCUUAGAGGUCGUCUUUGACCACCCAUGUGAAGCAGUUCCCACCCUUUCU